CGACUCCACGGACUCGACCUCUCUUAACCUCCUAUGAAUCUCGCGCAAUUCUCCGGGUUGUCCACACCCUCACGUUCGAAUCCACGAACGCCACGUUCCGAAUCUACGAAACGCCUCCACUCCGAAUCCACAAAACGCCUCCACUCCGAAUCCACGAAACUCACGAUCCGAAUCCACGAAUCGCCGUCAAUCACGCCGAAUCCAUGACGCCAUCAUAAAGAACAUCAUGU
rnacentral:lncRNA from 1 species